GCCGAGGUGGCGGAAUGGCAGACGCAGGAGACUUAAAAUCUCCCGUCAGAAAUGGCGUGUGGGUUCGAAUCCCUCCCUCGGUACCA
rnacentral:tRNA from 1 species